CGAGUGAAGCAGCAAUAGCUCAAAUUUGAAAUCUGGCGUCUUCGACGUCCGAGUUGUAAUUUGUAGAGGAUGCUUCUGAGUAACCACCGACCUAAGUUCCUUGGAACAGGACGUCAUAGAGGGUGAGAAUCCCGUAUGCGGUCGGAAAGGUGCUCUACACGUAGCUCCUUCGACGAGUCGAGUUGUUUGGGAAUGCAGCUCUAAAUGGGAGGUAAAUUUCUUCUAAAGCUAAAUAUUGGCCAGAGACCGAUAGCGCACAAGUAGAGUGAUCGAAAGAUGAAAAGCACUUUGGAAAGAGAGUUAAAAAGCACGUGAAAUUGUUAAAAGGGAAGGGAUUGCAACCAGACUUGCUCGCGGUGUUCCGCCGGUCUUCUGACCGGUCUACUCGCCGCGUUGCAGGCCAGCAUCGUCUGGUGCCGCUGGAUAAGACUUGAGGAAUGUAGCUCCCUCGGGAGUGUUAUAGCCUCUUGUGAUGCAGCGAGCGCCGGGCGAGGUCCGCGCUUCGGCUAGGAUGCUGGCGUAAUGGUCGUAAUCCGCCCG
rnacentral:rRNA from 1 species